rnacentral:rRNA from 1 species
UACGGGGGGGGCAAGCGUUGUUCGGAAUUACUGGGCGUAAAGGGCUCGUAGGCGGCCAACUAAGUCAGACGUGAAAUCCCCAGGCUCAACCUGGGAACUGCGUCUGAUACUGGAUGGCUUGAAUCCGGGAGAGGGAUGCAGAAUUCCAGGUGUAGCGGUGAAAUGCGUAGAUAUCUGGAGGAAUACCGGUGGCGAAGGCGGCAUCCCGGACCGGCAUUGACGCUGAGGAGCGAAAGCCAGGGGAGCAAACGGG